CAAGAACAACCUAUUCAAAACAAGGAUGGGGAUGUUGAUGUAUCCAGCUCAAAUACAUGCAGGGAUAUUGUUCUUUUCCAAACUAAAGAUGUUGAUCACAAGAAGUCUUCUAUUCAACGUCCCAAUUUAAUAGUUAUGAAAGGGAUGACUCAAAAGAUAACUUCCCAACUGGAGUGCAGCUAAGAAGGAAGAAAAGAAAAUGGUCUCCGUUGGAAGAGGAUACACUAAGAACUGGUGUAAAAGAGUUUGGCGUAGGACGCUGGGCAACAAUUCAGAGUUCUUACAAGAACAUAUUUGAAAAUAGAACAUCAGUUGAUUUGAAGAGUGGUGAAACAUGACACGGUAAUGAAUACUGAUGCAGAUGAAUUUUUUGAGCAUUUAGAC